rnacentral:rRNA from 1 species
GGUGAAAAAAACCCUAGAUCGAGAGGUAAAAAGAGAUCGCCUCCUCCUCACUCCUCCCACACCCAGCGGCGCCUCCUCCCUCCUCCCACGACCUCCUUCCAUGGCCGCACCUCACUGCCUUGACACCACCUCCUCCCCUUAUCGGCAGCGCCUCCUUCCUCCUCCCAGGACCUCCUUUCAUGGCGGUGCCCCGACCUAACCGAUCUUCCUCGUCUUCAGUCAAGGACCCGAUCGGCUGGAGCAGUUGGAGAGUAGUGACUGAUGCCGGCCAGAGAAGGCAGGGAGCAGCGGACGCCAGAGAGGGAGGCGGCUCGUCGUGGACCGGCCAUGGCGCUGGCGCUGCUGACUCCCACCGGCCUCCUUCGUCUCCCAGCCACAGCCUGCUCCAACCCCUCCCUCUGAUGUGGUGUGGUGGGAGAAGGAAGAAGAGCAGGAAGGCAGGGAGCAGCGGAUGCCAGAGAGGGAGGCGACUCGGCGUGGACCGGCCAUGGCGCUGGCGCUGCUGACUCCCACCGGCCUCCUUCGUCUCCCAAACACAGCCUGCUCCAACCCCUCCUAUGAUGUGGUGUGGUGGGAGAAGGAAGAAGAGCAGGCAUGCUCUCUGUCUACAUCCAGCGCCACACGGCUAGAUCGACGGGUCUAAACUAUGGAAUACAGAAAGAAUAAGCUUAGAAUCUGCUGCGCUGUGCAUGGCUGUUGAAGUUCAGCAUUGCUAUGAUGUGUAUGGUUUCUCUGUUUUCCUCAUAUCGCCCUAUUCCCAAUUUUACAAACUGCUAUGUGACGCACAGUGGCCACGCCACACACUGGUGAGAUUCAAGGUGCAGUCGAGCAAGAGUCAGUUCGAGGUGAGGCGUGUCACGUCGAUCUCCUGCUGCUCACCAGUGAGGCUCGCUGACAAACGGCCAGAUCCACACGAGGUGGAUGUCACACACACGGCACUCUCCCCUCGAUCCUUUCUCUUUCCUACAACUACUAUGUCUUGUACCUUGUUAUAUUGCUCUUUCAUCCAUGGGGAUAAAGAUGUUAACUCAGUUUGAUAAUGGAGUCACAGAUUUGUAUCUGAUAAUUCUUGAAAAUCAGAUUGAAACAUCCAUACUAAUUUGUUGGUUUGUCUCAACCAGUAAUUCAAUGUAAACCUAUUAACAUGAAUUUUAUGGGUAUACAUUGUCUCCUCCUAUGCCAAUUAUUUUCUCCAGAUUAGUUGUAUCAUAACUUUCAAGAAGGUUACAAACCUAGCAA